rnacentral:lncRNA from 1 species
AGUUUAGAAGAUUACCUUGGGGCAUGGUUUGCUUGCAGCUCGGAUUUCGGUUGUGUGGGGCAUCUGGUGGUUCUUCUUUUAUCAGAAACCAAACUAUGACGCCUUUGUCAGGUCUGAUGCUGGCUUCUUUGGGCAGCAAGUCAUUCACCAUGUCACACUUUGCAUCUCCAUUGAUUUCUUGCGGUUGUAUUUCUUGUAGCUCGUCAUCAUUUCCUGCAAGUACCUCUUCUUUUUGGACAAGAA